UACGAAGGGAGCUAGCGUUGUUCGGAAUCACUGGGCGUAAAGCGCACGUAGGCGGCUGUGUCAGUCAGGGGUGAAAUCCCGGGGCUCAACCUCGGAACUGCCUUUGAUACAGCACGUCUUGAGUCCGAUAGAGGUGGGUGGAAUUCCUAGUGUAGAGGUGAAAUUCGUAGAUAUUAGGAAGAACACCGGUGGCGAAGGCGGCCCACUGGAUCGGUACUGACGCUGAGGUGCGAAAGCGUGGGGAGCAAACAGG
rnacentral:rRNA from 1 species